rnacentral:rRNA from 1 species
UACGGAGGGUGCAAGCGUUACUCGGAAUUACCGGGCGUAAAGCGUGCGUAGGCGGCUUUGUAAGUUAGAGGUGAAAGCCCGGGGCUCAACCCCGGAACUGCCUUUAAGACUGCAUCGCUUGAAUCCAGGAGAGGUGAGUGGAAUUCCGAGUGUAGAGGUGAGAUUCGUAGAUAUUCGGAAGAACACCAGUGGCGAAGGCGGCUCACUGGCCUGGUAUUGACGCUGAGGUGCGAAAGCGUGGGGAGCAAACAGG